ACCUUCUGAAUGGUAGCCGAGAAGCCUAGGCAUAAGAGGGCAUCGGUUGCCUCCUGAAUCAUCAUAAGAGCUUUAUAGCUCUUCAAGUGAUCGACGGUGUCGGUGGAGCCGUCAUAAGGCUCCAUUUGUGACAUCUUGAACUAACUUGGGAUCGGCUAGUCCAAGAUGCAUUGAGAGAAAGGUGGAGAAGUGUAGAUGCCA
rnacentral:lncRNA from 1 species